UGUUGUGGCAGCUAGCCGUUGGCACAAACAGCUCCUUCAGUACGAGUACGAGUGCGGUCUUCGACGUAUCCAAAAGCAAACGCGGCUCUUUUUUAAGCGCGUUUUGUAUUAUUCUACUCAUAUAAUUUAUAAUUUGCGUCGCUAUAUGAUUUCUCCUUGUUUCGUAGAACAACAACAACAAACAAACAAACAAGAAUAACGGUAAACAACAGCCAGCAAAGGUUACUGAAACGACAGCAGCAGCAGCAGCAAGCGCAGCAGCCGGUGCAGCCAAGUGAAUCGUAUAAGCAAUUCUUCUAUUGUCGGCAAGAUUUUCAUUUUGCGCAAAAUUUCAAGUAUUCCAAAAACAAUUUAAAAUCCAAUAGCCGGUGGCUGAACGGCAUAUCACGAUCAGGAUCAGGCAGGUGUGUGCAAAAUAGUAAGCAAAACAACAACAAUCGUUAGUUUGAAGCAACAUUACGUUUCAGCGUCGCAGCAGCCACACUUCCAAGUUGUCAAAAUCAUUCAUGCAAUCUUCACAAUUCUUCAAGUUUUGAGUCAUUACAAACAAAAGCUCCAAACUUAAUUUGGCAACUUUUCAAAGUUUUUUGGAAAAAUUUGUUGCGCUUUGACGGCAUCUCAGUUGGCCUUCCACCAUUGCAUGCAUAUCUCGGCUGAAACGCCGAAAUUUUUCAAAACAACAACAGCAACACAGCGUCAGUAUUGAAGCAUCAAUCGAGCGUAAUUCGCGUAAAGCCAUCUGAGGAUUCCAGCGUAAAGAUUUUAUCGUCGAACAGCUGUUCAGCUUACACUUUUGCCAACAACGGCUUUAAACGGGCUGCUUGAGUAUACGAUCCACUGAGCUAUUUAUCAACAGCAAAAAGCUAAAGAGCAAACGAAAGAGAAAAAAGCAAUCAUUAAGCGCAAGUGAUAUAUCUACGAAUAUCAAAACAAUCAUAAAGCAAAUGAACAAUUCGUGAACAUUUUUGCACAAAUACUUUUAAAAAGGCAUUACCAAUCGAUACAUUUUCAUAUAUAUCGAUAAUUAAACAUUUCAAAAUAUUUUACGAUAUUUUCCUAGAAGUCAAACAUCUUCGGUUGUUCUUAUAUGAUUUCUCGUAACAGCCAAGCGUCAAACGAAUAAAAAGCACUGACAUUAAAAGUGAGCAUUCCAAAUACAUACGCGAGCAAGAGCGAAAGAGAGAGUGCACAAAGGCGAGAGUAUAUAAAGGUGACAACAAAAUAGCGACCGCGUUUCCUAGUUGUGAAUUCAAAGUGAUUUAAAUUUAUAGAAAAAGCGAAGCGAAAAUUAAAAAAAUAUAUAUUAUUUGUUCGCCAAAAGACAAAGCGCACCAGCGAAAGCUCAAUAAAAAGCUGCCAAGCUUAAAAGCUAUAGAGUGAUUUGCGCCCAUAAAAGAAGAGUGAAAUUAUAACGGCAGUCAUUAUCAACGCAAUAGAAAAGCAAUUUAGUACGGUAUCAUUAAAACAGUAACAAUAAGAACAACAACAAAAAAAUUAAAUUAAAAUAAUUUAAAAAUAAAAACAUUUACAUAGCAAAUAUACUACUAUCACUACUACUACUACUACUACUCUACUACUAUUUCUACUACCAAAAGCAAGCAAGCUUGCGUGCCGCCCGUAAAUAGUCGGUGCAGGCGCAGCGUUGCAUUUCAAGCGCAAGCUAUACACGAACUGACCACGUACAGUGUUUGCAGUAUUAUUACGUAAAUAUUAAAAUACCAGAAAGUAAUUAAUUAUAAAUAAUAAAAAUUUGUAACGAUUUUUUCGGUGUUUGUGUAUGUUUGUACUUUUCAUAGCGCCUAAAAAUAUACUACAGUACAUAGCAUAUUUGAACAUUAAAGAAUUUAUUCCACGAAAAGUACGCAACGAAAGCGUUGAAUGUCUCGUAAGUCAAAUAGGUGUACAAGUUUUCUAUAAAAAUACAAAAAAAAUAUUACAAAAACAAAAGGGAAAAUCAUUGUAUGGAUGUCUAAGAUUUUAAUG
rnacentral:lncRNA from 1 species